UGGGGAAUUUUGCACAAUGGGGGAAACCCUGAUGCAGCGACGCCGCGUGAUUUAGAAGGCCUCCGGGUUGUAAAAAUCUUUUCUAUGGGAAGAAAAUGACAGUACCAUAGGAAUAAGGACCGGCUAAUUACGUGCCAGCAGCCGCGGUAAUACGUAAGGUCCGAGCGUUGUCCGGAAUCAUUGGGCGUAAAGGGUACGUAGGCGGGUAAGCAAGUUAGAAGUGAAAUCCUAUAGCUCAACUAUAGUAAGCUUUUAAAACUGCUCAUCUUGAGGUAUGGAAGGGAAAGUGGAAUUCCUAGUGUAGCGGUGAAAUGCGCAGAUAUUAGGAGGAAUACCGGUGGCGAAGGCGACUUUCUGGCCAUAACCUGACGCUGAGGUACGAAAGCGUGGGUAGCAAACAGG
rnacentral:rRNA from 1 species